CAACCACUUUUCUACUUUUAUCACCAUGCUUAGCUUUGCCAGUAUUAGAACAUUAUCUAAUCACAUAGUGUGAACUCUUGUGUGCUUCGUUUUUGGUUUGUUUUGCCCUCACUAAAAAUAAUAGAUAGGAUAUCUUAAGGAGUUUGCCUAGAAGUAUUUCACUGUGAUCAGAUUUUAUUAAGACCUCUACUGGAAAAGAAACAGUAAAUGCCACCUUCCCGGUAGCUAUAGUAAUGCUGCGGGCCAUUAGAGAUUUCUUCUGGAAAACUGGAAACAAGAUAGGGUUUAAACCAGCAGGAGGCAUCCGCAGUGCAAAGGAUUCCCUUGCUUGGCUCUCUCUUGUAAAGGAGGAGCUUGGAGAUGAGUGGCUGAAGCCAGAACUCUUUC
rnacentral:sRNA from 1 species